rnacentral:rRNA from 1 species
GAUGAACGCUGGCGGCGUGCCUAAUACAUGCAAGUCGAGCGAACAGACGAGGAGCUUGCUCCUCUGACGUUAGCGGCGGACGGGUGAGUAACACGUGGAUAACCUACCUCUAAGACUGGGAUAACUUCGGGAAACCGGAGCUAAUACCGGAUAAUAUAUUGAACCGCAUGGUUCAAUAGUGAAAGACGGUUUUGCUGUCACUUAUAGAUGGAUCCGCGCCGCAUUAGCUAGUUGGUAAGGUAACGGCCUACCAAGGCAACGAUGCGUAGCCGACCUGAGAGGGUGAUCGGCCACACUGGAACUGAGACACGGUCCAGACUCCUACGGGAGGCAGCAGUAGGGAAUCUUCCGCAAUGGGCGAAAGCCUGACGGAGCAACGCCGCGUGAGUGAUGAAGGUCUUCGGAUCGUAAAACUCUGUUAUUAGGGAAGAACAAAUGUGUAAGUAACUAUGCACGUCUUGACGGUACCUAAUCAGAAAGCCACGGCUAACUACGUG